GAUGAACGCUGGCGGCGUGCCUAAUACAUGCAAGUCGAGCGAACGGACGAGAAGCUUGCUUCUCUGAUGUUAGCGGCGGACGGGUGAGUAACACGUGGAUAACCUACCUAUAAGACUGGGAUAACUUCGGGAAACCGGAGCUAAUACCGGAUGAUAUUUUGAACCGCAUGGUUCAAAAGUGACAGACGGUCUUGCUGUCACUUAUAGAUGGAUCCGCGCUGCAUUAGCUAGUUGGUAAGGUAACGGCUUACCAAGGCAACGAUGCAUAGCCGACCUGAGAGGGUGAUCGGCCACACUGGAACUGAGACACGGUCCAGACUCCUACGGGAGGCAGCAGUAGGGAAUCUUCCGCAAUGGGCGAAAGCCUGGCGGAGCAACGCCGCGUGAGUGAUGAAGGUCUUCGGAUCGUAAAACUCUGUUAUUAGGGAAGAACAUAUGUGUAAGUAACUGUGCACAUCUUGACGGUACCUAAUCAGAAAGCCACGGCUAACUACGUG
rnacentral:rRNA from 1 species